rnacentral:rRNA from 1 species
UACGUAGGGGGCGAGCGUUGUCCGGAGUUACUGGGCGUAAAGCGCACGCAGGCGGUCUGCUAAGUUUGGAGUGACAGUUGGUGGCUUAACUGCCAAAGUGCUUCGAAAACUGACAGACUUGAGGGCUUCAGAGGGACACGGAAUUCCGGGUGGAGUGGUGAAAUGCGUAGAGAUCCGGAGGAACACCAAAGGCGAAGGCAGUGUCCUGGGGUUGUUCUGACGCUGAGGAGCGAAAGCUAGGGGAGCAAACGGG